CCUACGGGAGGCAGCAGUGGGGAAUAUUGCACAAUGGGCGAAAGCCUGAUGCAGCGACGCCGCGUGAGGGAUGACGGCCUUCGGGUUGUAAACCUCUUUCAGCAGGGAAGAAGCGAAAGUGACGGUACCUGCAGAAGAAGCGCCGGCUAACUACGUGCCAGCAGCCGCGGUAAUACGUAGGGCGCGAGCGUUGUCCGGAAUUAUUGGGCGUAAAGAGCUCGUAGGCGGUCUGUCGCGUCGGAUGUGAAAGCCCGGGGCUUAACCCCGGGUCUGCAUUCGAUACGGGCAGACUAGAGUGUGGUAGGGGAGAUCGGAAUUCCUGGUGUAGCGGUGAAAUGCGCAGAUAUCAGGAGGAACACCGGUGGCGAAGGCGGAUCUCUGGGCCAUUACUGACGCUGAGGAGCGAAAGCGUGGGGAGCGAACAGGAUUAGAUACCCUGGUAGUCCACGCCGUAAACGGUGGGAACUAGGUGUUGGCGACAUUCCACGUCGUCGGUGCCGCAGCUAACGCAUUAAGUUCCCCGCCU
rnacentral:rRNA from 1 species